rnacentral:rRNA from 2 species
UGGGGAAUAUUGCACAAUGGAGGGAACUCUGAUGCAGCGACGCCGCGUGAACGAAGAAGGCUUUCGAGUCGUAAAGUUCUUUUAUAUGGGAAGAUGAUGACGGUACCAUAAGAAAAAGCCCCGGCUAACUACGUGCCAGCAGCCGCGGUAAUACGUAGGGGGCUAGCGUUGUCCGGAAUCACUGGGCGUAAAGGGUUCGCAGGCGGAAAUGCAAGUCAGGUGUAAAAGGCAGUAGCUUAACUACUGUAAGCAUUUGAAACUGCAUAUCUUGAGAAGAGUAGAGGUAAGUGGAAUUUUUAGUGUAGCGGUGAAAUGCGUAGAUAUUAAAAAGAAUACCGGUGGCGAAGGCGACUUACUGGGCUCAUUCUGACGCUGAGGAACGAAAGCGUGGGUAGCAAACAGG